UGGGGAAUAUUGCAGCAAUGGGCGCAAGCCUGAUGCAGCCAUGCCGCGUGUGUGAAGAAGGCCUUCGGUUGUAAGCACUUUCAGCGAGGAGGAAGGUGGUGAGCUUAAUACGCUCAUCAAUUGACGUUACUCGCAGAAGAAGCACCGGCUAACUCCGUGCCAGCAGCCGCGGUAAUACGGAGGGUGCAAGCGUUAAUCGGAAUUACUGGGCGUAAAGCGCACGCAGGCGGUUUGUUAAGUCAGNUGUGAAAUCCCCCGGGCUCAACCUGGGAACUGCAUUUGAAACUGGCAAGCUAGAGUCUCGUAGAGGGGGGUAGAAUUCCAGGUGUAGCGGUGAAAUGCGUAGAGAUCUGGAGGAAUACCGGUGGCGAAGGCGGCCCCCUGGACGAAGACUGACGCUCA
rnacentral:rRNA from 1 species